AACGAACGCUGGCGGCAUGCCUAACACAUGCAAGUCGAACGAGACCUUCGGGUCUAGUGGCGCACGGGUGCGUAACGCGUGGGAAUCUGCCCUUGGGUUCGGAAUAACUCGCCGAAAGGCGUGCUAAUACCGGAUGAUGACGUAAGUCCAAAGAUUUAUCGCCCAAGGAUGAGCCCGCGUUGGAUUAGCUAGUUGGUGAGGUAAAGGCUCACCAAGGCGACGAUCCAUAGCUGGUCUGAGAGGAUGAUCAGCCACACUGGGACUGAGACACGGCCCAGACUCCUACGGGAGGCAGCAGUGGGGAAUAUUGGACAAUGGGCGAAAGCCUGAUCCAGCAAGGCCGCGUGAGUGAUGAAGGCCUUAGGGUUGUAAAGCUCUUUUACCCGGGAUGAUAAUGACCGUACCGGGAGAAUAAGCUCCGGCUAACUCCGUG
rnacentral:rRNA from 1 species